CGAAGAUGCGGAUGUAUACUUUGUAUACGUGGUAGGGGAGCGUUCUGUAAGCCGAUGAAGGUGUGUUGAGAAGCAUGCUGGAGGUAUCAGAAGUGCGAAUGCUGACGUGAGUAACGACAAAACGGGUGAAAAACCCGUUCGCCGAAAGACCAAGGGUUCCAGUCCAACGUUAAUCGGGGCUGGGUGAGUCGACCCCUAAGGCGAGGCCGAAAGGCGUAGUCGAUGGGAAAAUGGUUAAUAUUCCAUUACUUCUGUGUAAUGCGAUGAGAGGACGGAGAAGGCUAAAUCAGCCUGGCGUUGGUUGUCCAGGUGAAAGGAUGUAGGCAUGUAUCUUAGGCAAAUCCGGGGUACUCUAUGCUGAGAUCUGAUAGCAAGCUGUACUUGUACAGCGAAGUGGUUGAUGCCAUGCUUCCAGGAAAAGUCUCUAAGCUUCAGUUACACAGGAAUCGUACCCGAAACCGACACAGGUGGUCAGGUCGAGUAGACCAAGGCGCUUGAGAGAACUCUGCUGAAGGAACUAGGCAAAAUGGUACCGUAACUUCGGGAGAAGGUACGCUGUUGUUGGUGAUGGAACUCGCUUCCUGAGCUGACGACAGCCGCAGAAACCAGGCCGCUGCAACUGUUUAUUAAAAACAUAGCACUCUGCAAACACGAAAGUGGCCGUAUAGGGUGUGAUGCCUGCCCGGUGCUGGAAGGUUAAUUGAUGGGGUUAGCGUAAGCGAAGCUCUUGAUCGAAGCCCCAGUAAACGGCGGCCGUA
rnacentral:rRNA from 1 species